ACAGCAGCCAAGGGAUCUUUUCGAAAUGUAAAUCCGAUGAUGCCACCACCGACUUACAGCCCUUGAAUGACUUUCCUCUCCUUUUCAGGUGCAUUAUCCGACUCAAUUCUUGCAAGAGCCCUUAAGAAGUAUGACCCCAAAGCUGGGAGAAGAGUCCUGAAACUCGUCCCCAGGGGGGCAGUGGCAGAAUCAGGACUGAAGCCUCAGUGUGGAUCUCUGUUCUCCCUCUAUCGCUAAGAAUUCCAGGAUUGGAAAAGAUCUCAAAAAUCAUCUGGCAUGACAUUCUUAUUUUAUAGAUUAAAUCACUCAGUUCAGAGAGGUUCCAAUCUUGACCCAGGGUCUGUGACUAGUGGUUGAAGCACUGGUCCCCAGACUCCUAACGCCUUUUCCUUUCAACAACACUCUAGUGCAGGUGCGUAGUGGAGUGAGAAGUAAGCUUCUGUUUUUAUGUGUCACAGAGAGUUCUUUUUUCCUGUAACUGCAGUAUAACCUAGCCCAGGCUGUCUGGGCCUCAAAUGACUAAUUUUAUGAAUAAUAAGAGUUCUGUGGACAUGUAAGUUUUCUCCGAAAGGAAGAGGUGGAAGACUAUACUUUCAGGGAUCAUUUCUAUAGUUUGUGAAAGGAAGAGGUGGGCAUAGCACCAAACUCAAACGUCUAUGUCCUUGUGUUGACUGUUUGUCUACUAUUUCAGGGAUUCUUAGGAUGUGUGUGUGUGUGUGUGUGUGUGUGUGUGAUUGUUGUUAUUACAUUGUAUUUAAUUUUUUAAAUGUUACACAUCUUCCUUGAGAUUUAGGGCACUUUUUGGGAGUUUGUCGAUGGGAAGUUUAUUUUCUUGGAGAAGAGUUAGUAGAAUCAAGGAAAAUAAGGUAGACCUAGCAUCUCCCCUCUCAGUCCUUAAUUAUGAACCAUAUAUUGCAGUAGAGAAACCAAAGGAGAGAAUAGAUUGAAUCAUUCAACAAUUUUUCAUUUUCUUUUUAAUAUUCGAUGGUAAUAUGUAAGAAUCUCAGCCCAUUGAAAGAAGUUAAUGAUAAGCUUAAAUGGGGUUUUAGCAAAAUAGACUGAACUCAUAGUAUC